AUUGAACGCUGGCGGCAGGCCUAACACAUGCAAGUCGAACGGUAACAGGAAGAAGCUUGCUUCUUUGCUGACGAGUGGCGGACGUGUGAGUAAUGUCUGGGAAACUGCCUGAUGGAGGGGGAUAACUACUGGAAACGGUAGCUAAUACCGCAUAACGUCGCAAGACCAAAGAGGGGGACCUUCGGGCCUCUUGCCAUCGGAUGUGCCCAGAUGGGAUUAGCUAGUAGGUGGGGUAACGGCUCACCUAGGCGACGAUCCCUAGCUGGUCUGAGAGGAUGACCAGCCACACUGGAACUGAGACACGGUCCAGACUCCUACGGGAGGCAGCAGUGGGGAAUAUUGCACAAUGGGCGCAAGCCUGAUGCAGCCAUGCCGCGUGUAUGAAGAAGGCCUUCGGGUUGUAAAGUACUUUCAGCGGGGAGGAAGGGAGUAAAGUUAAUACCUUUACUCAUUGACGUUACCCGCAGAAGAAGCACCGGCUAACUCCGUG
rnacentral:rRNA from 1 species